AUUGAACGCUGGCGGCAGGACUAACACAAGCAAGUCGAGCGAGCGGCGGACGGGUGAGUAAUGUCUGGGAAACUGCCUGAUGGAGGGGGAUAACUACUGGAAACGGUAGCUAAUACCGCAUACCAUCAGAUGUGCCCAGAUGGGAUUAGCGAGGAGGUGGGGGAACGGCUCACCUAGGCGACGAUCCGUAACUGGUCUGAGAUGAUGAUCAGUCACACGGGAACUGCGACACGGUCCAGACUCCUACGGGAGGCAGCAGUGGGGAAUAUUGGCCAAUGGGCGAAAGCCUGAUCCAGCCAUGCCGCGUGUGGGAAGAAGGUCUUCGGAUUGUAAUGCACUUUAAGUGGGGAGGCUUUACCAACAGUAUAAGCACCGGCUAACUUCGUGCGAGCAGCCGCGGUAAUAC
rnacentral:rRNA from 1 species